rnacentral:sRNA from 3 species
UAUCUCUCCGUACGGAAAAGGAUGAGAAGCUUCGACUAAGGUUCGAUUCGAGCGCAGCGAGAAAGCGUUGCCGCAGGCAACGACCCGAAGGGCGAAGCGCGCAGCGCUGAGUCAUCCUUCCCCCACCACCA